rnacentral:rRNA from 1 species
UUUGACCGUGCGAAGGUAGCAUAGUCAGUAGUCUUUUAAUUGGAGGCUUGUAUGAAUGGUUGGACGAGGGACAAGCUGUCUCUUUUACGUGGUUUGAAUUUAACUUUUAAGUGAAAAGGCUUAAAUUAUUUAGUGGGACGAUAAGACCCUAUAAAACUUUAUACAGGUUGGGUUAAAUUUGUGAUUUAGGUGAAAAGUAGUUUUAUUUGACUUGUAUUUUGUUGGGGCGACAUAGAUAUAAUAUGUAACUGUCUAUUAAAUUUAAUAGUGUUAAUUAGUUUUUGAUCCUUCUUUGUGGAUUAAAAGAAUAAGUUACUUUAGGGAUAACAGCGUGAUUUUCCUUGAGAGUUA